UACGUAGGGGGCUAGCGUUGUCCGGAAUCAUUGGGCGUAAAGCGCGCGUAGGCGGUCAGGUAAGUCCGGUGUGAAAGUCAAAGGCUCAACCUUUGAAUGCCGCUGGAUACUGCUUGACUUGAGUCCGGAAGGGGCGAGUGGAAUUCCUGGUGUAGCGGUGAAAUGCGCAGAUAUCAGGAGGAACACCAAUGGCGAAGGCAGCUCGCUGGGACGGUACUGACGCUAAGGCGCGAAAGCGUGGGGAGCGAACGGG
rnacentral:rRNA from 1 species